GUCUAUGGCCAUACCACCCUGAACAUGCCUAACCCUUGUGUGACCUCAGAAGCUAAGCAGGGUCAUGUCUGGUUAGUACUUGGAUCCAAGAAGAGUGAUAACAGUAAUGCUAAUAAUU
rnacentral:rRNA from 1 species